GUGGAUGUAGCUCAGUUGGUAGAGCGUCAGCUUCCCAAGCUGAAUGUCGCGGGUUCGACUCCCGUCAUCCACU
rnacentral:tRNA from 2 species